UGCGGAAUAUUGGUCAAUGGGCGAGAGCCUGAACCAGCCAAGUCGCGUGAGGGAUGACGGCCCUACGGGUUGUAAACCUCUUUUAUAAGGGAAUAAAGGACAUCACGUGUGUUGUUUUGCAUGUACCUUAUGAAUAAGCAUCGGCUAACUCCGUGCCAGCAGCCGCGGUAAUACGGAGGAUGCGAGCGUUAUCCGGAUUCAUUGGGUUUAAAGGGUGCGUAGGUCGCCGAUUAAGUCAGCGGUGAAAGUCAGUGGCUCAACCAUUGAACUGCCGUUAGAAC
rnacentral:rRNA from 1 species